rnacentral:ncRNA from 1 species
AUAAAGACGAUGAACGGAAGAGUAAAUGAAGUACGGACGCCGAAAGAGAGUAUCUUUAUCAGCUGAAAGGGAUACCGAUCCACUUGAUUGAACCACACCCGUGAGUUUAUAGGUUGAAUAUUUUAGUAGACCUAUACGUGUUAUUGCGUUAAAUGUGAGUUAUACGUAUGUGUAACUUGAUGAGGCUAUUUUCGUGAGAAUUUAGCAAAAUCGAGGUGGAACCGUACUUUCAUAGUGCCCUCUUA